rnacentral:miRNA from 1 species
AUGUACCUUGUUGAUUGGAGGGAAACCCUUCUGAUCAAAAGGUAGAUGUACCUCAUUGAUUGGAAGGGUUUCCUUCUGAUCAACAAGGUACAU